UGGGGAAUUUUGUGCAAUGGGCGAAAGCCUGACACAGCGACACCGCGUGGAUGAAGAAGCCCUUUGGGGUGUAAAAUCCUGUCGGCUGGAACGAAACAAAUGACGGUACCAGCAGAGGAAGCAUCGGCUAACUACGUGCCAGCAGCCGCGGUAAGACGUAGGAUGCGAGCGUUGUCCGGAUUUAUUGGGCGUAAAGAGUUCGUAGGCGGUUUGUUAAGUCUGAUGUUAAAGAUCGGGGCUCAACCCUGGGAGUGCAUUGGAUACUGGCAGACUGGAGUGUGGUAGAGGCUAGUGGAAUUCCUAGUGUAGCGGUGAAAUGCGUAGAUAUUAGGAAGAACACCAGUGGCGUAGGCGACUAGCUGGGCCAUAACUGACGCUGAGGAACGAAAGCCAGGGGAGCGAAUGGG
rnacentral:rRNA from 1 species